CCCCCUUCUCGUUCCUUUUUCCCCCAGCCGCCGCAAUGUUCCGCCCACCCUGGCAACACCGUCGUCGACCUGGCCCGUCCAGAUCGGCCGGCAAAGCGCUGCCACCCCCACCCUCUUCAUCAAGCAUGCCGCCUCCCUGCACCCCUAACCCAUGCCGCCCCUCCCGCACCCCGAGUCCUUGACCCACGCCGCCACCUAGUCCCCUCGACGGCCGGCACCCGCGCGCCCUCCGACCCAUGCCGCCACCCAGUCCCCAUCGGCGACGACCUACACCCACGCUUCUGACGUCUCACGCUGCCACCCAGUCCCCAUCGGUGAUGACCUACACCAGCAAUCCACGCCGCCGCCCGUCCCCAUCGAUCCACUUUGCAACCAUGCCCCCACCCAGAACCGCCGCCCCAUUCCUCGAGCACGACGCUGCCUCAGCCCCCUCACCACCCAUGUCGCUGUCCCAAUCCCCCACCACGAAACCUCCCCAUUCCCUUCGCCAUUGCCGCCUCUGCUUCGCAUCGCAUAGUAGCACGACGUCUUGUGUCAAAGGAGAAGGUCCAAGUGAAGUGUUUGAGUUUUUGUCAAACCAAUAGCAACAUCCUCAGAGUGAGUCGCAGCUACAGGCCGCCCUUGAGCUCUGUUCAUACUUUUUUUAUUGUGUUGUGACAUGCAGGUUUUUGUUGUUGUGUUGAUUUAUUAAAUUUGGCUAUGAGUCUAACUGGAUCUGAUAGGUAAGAGGCUCAAGCUGAACCCCUGACCCUCUUAUGUCUCUCCAUGUGCCUUCUUAUCCGGUGAAGGAUACACCAGCGCCAGCCACGUACUGGUCAAGAUCGAUGGUUAGUGGCCCUGCUCUGCCCGCAUAUAGCCUUAAUGGGGAUGCUGUCUAUGUUAGCUUAGUGCAGAAUUAGAUAAGGCCAGGUCAUCGGUAUAAUUCUUUUGCAUCCACAAAUUUGAAGAGGUGUGUUUUGUGAGCUAAAAGGAUGUUCUGUUGGGUUCUGUUUCUCUGUGUUCUAUUUCUAUUAACUGAAACAAGAUGUUAUAUUUGGCGCUUUUGUCUAUGGUGCAAUAACCUACAAAUGUAUGCCUAUGUGUGCAUGGGCAUACAUGAAGGAUCGUUGUGUUGUAAUACUGUACUUGUGAACCUAUAUAUGCUUGUAUACAUCAUGGAUUGUUGAGAUACAUAUAUUAUGUCUAAUUGAUGCAACUUUAAUUACUA